rnacentral:lncRNA from 1 species
AUGGAAGAUAAGGAUAAGAAUAAGGUAGUUUCAGUUCAAAUUCAAGUGUUGGUUGAUCUUUAUCACCAAUUCAAAUCAAAUUUAAAUUAAAUUUUGAACCAAACUUUAUUCUUUUUCUAUAAAAUUAGAGAAAAAUCGACCAACAUCAGAAUGGUGCAAAAAAUCUCAUGCAAAAAUACUUUAUGCGUGGAGAAAUGUGG